rnacentral:rRNA from 1 species
AUUGAACGCUGGCGGCAGGCCUAACACAUGCAAGUCGAGCGGUUGAGGUAGCUUGCUACCGAUGCAGCGGCGAACGGGUGAGUAAUACAUGGGAAUCUGCCUGGUAGUGGGGGACAACGUCUCGAAAGGGACGCUAAUACCGCAUACGCCCUACGGGGAAAGGGGGGGAGUCUUCGGACCUCUCGCUAUCAGAUGAGCCCAUGUCAGAUUAGCUAGUUGGUGGGGUAAAGGCUCACCAAGGCGACGAUCUGUAACUGGUCUGAGAGGAUGAUCAGUCACACUGGAAUUGAGACACGGUCCAGACUCCUACGGGAGGCAGCAGUGGGGAAUAUUGGACAAUGGGCGCAAGCCUGAUCCAGCCAUGCCGCGUGUGUGAUGAAGGCCCUAGGGUUGUAAAGCUCUUUACCCGGGAUGAUAAUGACAGUACCGGGAGAAUAAGCUCCGGCUAACUCCGUGCCAGCAGCCGCGGUAAU